GAGGGGGCAAGCGUUGUUCGGAAUUACUGGGCGUAAAGGGCGCGUAGGCGGCCUGUUAAGUCGAACGUGAAAUCCCCGGGCUCAACCCGGGAACUGCGUCCGAUACUGGCAGGCUUGAAUUCGGGAGAGGGAUGUGGAAUUCCAGGUGUAGCGGUGAAAUGCGUAGAUAUCUGGAGGAACACCGGUGGCGAAGGCGGCAUCCUGGACCGAUAUUGACGCUGAUGCGCGAAAGCCAGGGGAGCAAACGGG
rnacentral:rRNA from 1 species